GUUGGCUGUUGCCUCACCCUCCACCUUGGUGAGCUCCUUCACUACACAGCUUCCUAUAGACACAUAUACAACAGUUAUAGUCCAAUACAAUCAACCCU